AUGCAGAGUCAAAGUUCAGCUAUAAAACAAGGUUUGCAUUUCUUCAGCAGGUGCCAUCUUUUGGACUUGCCCUGGGAGGAUGUACUUGUUCCACAUGUUUUAUGCCAUUUGCCACUGCAGCUCCUUGUAAGCCUGCAGAGGGUCAGCAAGCAGUUCCACAGCCUCAUCCAGGUGUAUCUGGCCAACUGCAGGACCUUUGAUCUGUCCUCGUUACAGAUUGGACCAUCCAUUUCCAAGGAAGCAUUUUGCUCCAUGUUAAAGGACAACAAAGUUCUCCACAGACUGUCUCUUCAGCGUUGUUCAGACUGGGUGACGGAUAAGGAGCUGCUGCCAGUUAUCGGCCAGAACCAGCACCUGCAGAGAGUGGACAUGAGCGGGUGUGUUUGUCUCACCCGUCACUCCCUGGUGGCCGUGUCCUUGAGCUGCAUGCACCUCCAGCACCUUGGCCUGGCGCACUGCGAGUGGGUGGACAGCCUGUCUCUGCGCAGCCUGGCUGACCACUGCGGGGGGCUGCAGUCGAUCGACAUCACCGCCUGCCGCCAGCUAAAGGACGACGCCAUCUGCUACCUGGCCAAGAAGUGCUUGAAGUUGAGGUCUUUAUCUUUGGCAGUCAACGCCAACGUCACUGACGAGUCGGUGGAGGAGGUGGCCAAGAACUGCAGGGGCCUGGAGCAGCUGGACCUGACAGGUUGCCUGCGGGUCAGGAACCAGUCCAUCAGGACUCUUGCAGAGUACUGCCCGAAGCUGCAGUCCCUGAAGGUGAAUCACUGUCACAAUGUGACAGAGUCGAGUCUGGAUCCUCUACGGAAGCGCAAUGUAGUGAUAGAUGUUGAGCCACCUCUACAGAGGGCUCUGGUGCUUCUUCAGGAUGUGCUGGGGUUUGCUCCUUUUAUCAAUCUCCAGAUAUAGCCAAAUGGCCAUCUAUCUGUCCAACAAGUGCACACAGAUUUCUUCAUCAAAGCAGUCACUCUCAGCUGCAGCAAAUGUGCUCGUGAGUUGCUCUAAGAAACGUCAAGACGAUCCAAGAAGACCUGGAUGUUUUACACUCCAGUUUAAAAAUAAUGUGGACAAAAAAAAGCUCACUGGUUUUUAUUAUCUCCAUUACUGAGACUUCUGCUUCCACCACAAGACAAUGAAGGUGGAUGCAAGUGUGUUAGUGGUGCUGACUAGUGUCUUCCAGAAACAAUGUCCCGGCUCCUCAGGAUGAUCCUCAGACCUCACUGUCGUUUUUAACUGCUUCAAAAAUAAAAACAGUUGUUGCUCACAGUAACUCCAAAACUAUCUGCAUAGCUAGAUGCCAACAGAGAUUAGUGGGAAAAUGUUUAUAUUUUUUUCUUGUGACACUGGUGAAGCAACCCUUUUAUCCAUAUUGUUAAUUAUCACAUACUUGUAUAGCCUAGUAUUUGUUUGAAAAAAAGGAAUAUAUUAUGACUGUUCCCAUUAAACCCUUGAAAUUCAUUUUGUAAAAAGUACCUGUGUUGAAAUGCUGUUGCCUAAUAAGGUAUAUGGAUUAUAUAAGACAUAUUAAAAUGCAUCAUAUCAUCAGAAAUGACUGUUGUCACUU